rnacentral:lncRNA from 1 species
CCGCGGUCAUCACUGGUACCUGAACACAUAACAAUAAACACUGUAAGCAUAAGCUUAUUGAGUUCCCCAAAAUACCACUCUAACACAUAAUAGCCACUCGAGGCUGUAACUUUGUUGACCCUCUGGUCUAUGUGUCUCAGUGGGGCCCUCCAGCCCCAACUCUCUGUGGGCCCUCUGGCCCUAACUCUAGGGACCCGAAAGUCCCAACUCUGUAACUCUGAAUCAUGCAUAUCACAUAUCACAAUAAAUCAGUACACAUAAAUAACAUGCAAAUACAUUGGCAUAUAACUCUAUAGUACUCUAUCCCAUAACUCUGUUACCACACUAGGUAAAGUAUAGUGAGAAGACUCACCUCAGGCGUCUCGGUAAAUCUCUGACUCGAUGGAAAAAUAUCUCCUAGCCUCCGCCUAUUCACAUAUAUAAAUACUCUUAUAAAUAUAACUCUCGAGUCUAGACUCAACCUGCGAUUGGCACCUUCAGAAAGGUAAAAGACCAUUUUACCCUCCCCUCUUGUCAGAAGGACUCUAUUGAUGACCAAACCCUAAAAGUCAACCAAAGUCAACGGUCCCACUUUGACCCUACUCACCGAGUGCACCCAGGUGACUCGGUGAGUUCUCACAUGUCCUUUAACUCUUUGUCCCGCUGGACACGCCGAGUCCCUCCCUAUAGUCGACGAUUCAUACCAGUCAUGAAUCGCGGGGCCACCCCGACUCAACUCGCCGAGUCUCAAGAACAACUCGGCGAGUACCGCCUUGAACUCCAGUCCUCUAACUCCCUCCUGACUCACUGAGUCAUCCCCCACCCCGGCAAGUCUACUCACUGAACAAUUUACGUGAAACCCUAACCCUACUCGCCGAGUCUCAAGAAUAGCUCGGCGAGUUCAUGCCAUGUACAAACUCUACUGACCUCCUAAGGUCAGAUCUGUUUCCCCAAACCAUAGAUCUGGCCUCCCCAAGCAUGAAUGUCACGUAAAGUUCGAAACUUGAUGCUUGUACAACCACAACAAGGCAUCAAAAGGAGAUUUAGUCCCAAAAAUGGCCACCUAAGUCCAAUAACCCCAAACUAAUCCAUAAAGCUCCAAGGGUUAAGGUCUCUGGACCUCUUUGAGUCCAGAUCCAAGGCACAAACUCGAAGAGGGACCAUUUGCUCCACAUAAUCAGUCUCCAAAGGGGUUAGAAAACCCUAACUCUAAAGAUCAACACCAAAACUGAAGGAGGUUCGAACUAUUACCUCAAAAUGAAGUCUUUGAACUCUGAAACUGCUUGAAUCGCACCUCCUCUUUGCUCUUGUCACCUUCUUCUUGCUAAACCAAAGAUACAACGAUCAAAAAGUGACUUCUUCUCCCUCACAGCGAUUUAGCUCUCUUAGGGUUCUCUCAAGGGACUGGUAGCCGCAAUGGGAGGCUAUAAGUGCCCUUAAAUA